GCUUCCUGUGUUGGUGUGUACAGCCUGCAGGCAGCUCCUGACUGUUAUCUUCUUACUGGUUCUGUGGAGACGAGUCUUGGCCAGGAGAAGUCUUCAUGGUGCCCCAGGCCAGAUAGUGAAAAAGGAAAGGUGAAUGACUCCAAACAGAGAAGACGUCCUCUGGAUCAAUUUAUGAUGGCUAUUGAGAAAAGGGUCUCCCCGAAACGCGUCUAGCAACCUACCCUACUGCACCGAUCAUCUACAGGAUUCAUUUCCAGCCACCUAUCAGUCAUCCACAUUUGCAACAGCUGGAACCCCCCAAACUAGAGACCACUGGGACGUGCGCCACGAUAACGCCGCCCGUCUCUAACCUUUGCCUGCACACUCACCCAGCUGCCUCCGUACAGCAACCCCGAAGAUCCAUCAUACAGACACUUUGAGCCGGCCACCGAGCAGAGCCAGUCUGUUACACGGAGCCCAGCAGACCAGGUGCUACCACCCAGGGAAUCCAUCUAGACGGAGCGUGCCGCCUGCCGCAGCAAGUCCAUCCCGCUUUGUGGCGGGCUCUGGUGAAAACCAGUGGCACCUUAGACUCUGCUUCCUGGUACUGUCCGAG